GAGUCUUAAUUGGGCGUUAAGUUGCAGGGUAUAGACCCGAAACCCGGUGAUCUAGCCAUGGGCAGGUUGAAGGUUGGGUAACACUAACUGGAGGACCGAACCGACUAAUGUUGAAAAAUUAGCGGAUGACCUGUGGCUGGGGGUGAAAGGCCAAUCAAACCGGGAGAUAGCUGGUUCUCCCCGAAAGCUAUUUAGGUAGCGCCUCGUGAAUUCAUCUCCGGGGGUAGAGCACUGUUUCGGCUAGGGGGCCAUCCCGGCUUACCAACCCGAUGCAAACUGCGAAUACCGGAGAAUGUUAUCACGGGAGACACACGGCGGGUGCUAACGUCCGUCGUGAAGAGGGAAACAACCCAGACCGCCAGCUAAGGUCCCAAAGUCAUGGUUAAGUGGGAAACGAUGUGGGAAGGCCCAGACAGCCAGGAUGUUGGCUUAGAAGCAGCCAUCAUUUAAAGAAAGCGUAAUAGCUCACUGGUCGAGUCGGCCUGCGCGGAAGAUGUAACGGGGCUAAACCAUGCACCGAAGCUGCGGCAGCGAACGUAUCACUUAAAGCGAUUCAGCGGGUUACGAUUGACGGAGCGAAGCGACGUCAAAGCGUAUACAAAGUCGAGUCGGUUUAAGGAUACGUUCGUUGGGUAGGGGAGCGUUCUGUAAGCCUGUGAAGGUGUGUCGUGAGGCAUGCUGGAGGUAUCAGAAGUGCGAAUGCUGACAUAAGUAACGAUAAAGCGGGUGAAAAGCCCGCUCGCCGGAAGACCAAGGGUUCCUGUCCAACGUUAAUCGGGGCAGGGUGAGUCGACCCCUAAGGCGAGGCCGAAAGGCGUAGUCGAUGGGAAACGGGUUAAUAUUCCCGUACUUGGUGUUACUGCGAAGGGGGGACGGAGAAGGCUAUGUUGGCCGGGCGACGGUUGUCCCGGUUUAAGCGUGUAGGUGUGUGUUCCAGGUAAAUCCGGUUCACUUUAACACUGAGGCGUGAUGACGAGGCACUACGGUGCUGAAGCAACAAAUGCCCUGCUUCCAGGAAAAGCCUCUAAGCAUCAGGUAACAUCAAAUCGUACCCCAAACCGACACAGGUGGUCAGGUAGAGAAUACCAAGGCGCUUGAGAGAACUCGGGUGAAGGAACUAGGCAAAAUGGUGCCGUAACU
rnacentral:rRNA from 2 species